UACGAAGGGGGCGAGCGUUGUUCGGAUUUACUGGGCGUAAAGGGCGCGCAGGCGGCUCAUUUUGUCAGGCGUGAAAGCCCCGGGCUUAACCUGGGAACUGCGUUUGAUACGGAUGGGCUAGAGUUCGGGAGAGGAGAGUGGAAUUCCCAGUGUAGAGGUGAAAUUCGUAGAUAUUGGGAAGAACACCGGUGGCGAAGGCGGCUCUCUGGACCGAGACUGACGCUGAGGUGCGAGAGCGUGGGGAGCGAACCGG
rnacentral:rRNA from 1 species